rnacentral:rRNA from 1 species
AAUCAAACCCGGAGAUAUCUCGUUCUCCCCGAAAUAGCUUUAGGGCUAGCCUCGGCCGUUCUCCGACGGCGGUAGAGCACUGGAUCGUCGAGGGGGCUUCACCGCCUACCGACACGAACCAAACUCCGAAUGCCGCCGGAUCAGAGGCCGGGAGUCAGAACAUGUGGGCUAAGCUGUGUGUUCGAGAGGGAAACAGCCCAGACCGCCCGCUAAGGUCCCCAAGUUUAUGCUGAGUGGCAAAGGAUGUGCGUUUGCCUAGACAACCAGGAUGUUGGCUUAGAAGCAGCCAUGCAUUUAAAGAGUGCGUAACAGCUCACUGGUCAAGUGGACAUGCGCCGACAAUUCACGGGGCUAAGCAUAACACCGAAGCGGCGGACUAAUCUAUAUUAGUGGUAGGGGAGCUUUCCCCGCAGCGGAGAAGCCGAGAGGGCGACCCUCGGUGGAGCGCGGGGAAGUGAGAAUGCUGGCAUGAGUAACGAGAGCGGCGCGAGAAACGCCGCCGCCGUAAGCCUAAGGGUUCCUGGGCAAGGCUAAUCCUCCCAGGGUCAGUCGGGAGCUAAGGCGAGGCCGAGAGGCGUAGCCGAUGCGCAACAGGCGGACAUUCCUGUACCGCCUGCGGACCGCUAUCACCGACGGGGUGACGGAGAAGGGUAGCCGAGCGGGGUUCUGGACGUCCCCGUGAAAGCGCGUAGGGAGCAUCGCAUGGAAAUCAGCGGCGCAUAUAUCCUGAGACGCGAGACGAAAGCUUAUGCUGAAGUCGGCGAGCCCAUGCUUCCGAGAAAAACCUCUAGGAAGGGACGCAGGCGCCCGUACCAAAACCGACACAGGUGGGCAGGUAGAGCAUACCGAGGCGAUCGGGAGAACCAUGGUUAAGGAACUCGGCAUACUGACUCCGUAACUUCGGGAGAAGGAGUGCCCCUGGCGGUGACGGGACUAGCUCCCCGAGCGGCCGGGGGUCGCAGCGAAACGGCCCAAGCGACUGUUUAUCAAAAACACAGGACUCUGCAAAGCCGUAAGGCGACGUAUAGGGUCUGACGCCUGCCCGGUGCUGGAAGGUUACGCGGAUGGGUCAGCCGCAAGGCGAAGCUCUGAAGCCAAGCCCCAGUAAACGGCGGCCGUAACUAUAACGGUCCUAAGGUAGCGAAAUUCCUUGUCGGGUAAGUUCCGACCUGCACGAAUGGCGUAACGAUUUGGGCGCUGUCUCAACCAUGGACCCGGUGAAAUUGUAUUAUUCGUGAAGAUGCGAAUUACCUGCGGAAGGACGGAAAGACCCCGUGAACCUUUACUGCAGCUUGACAUUGAUCGUUGGCUCGGCGCGUAGAGGAUAGGCAGGAGGCUGCGAAGCCCGGGCGCCAGCCCGGGCGGAGCCGACCUUGGAAUACUGCCCUCGUCGCGUCGGCGAUCUAACCCCCGGCCGUGAUCCGGCGGGGGGACCGUGUCAGGCGGGUAGUUUGACUGGGGCGGUCGCCUCCCAAAACGUAACGGAGGCGCGCAAAGGUCCGCUCAGAACGGUCGGCAACCGUUCGCAGAGCGCAAGAGUACAAGCGGGCUUGACUGCGAGGCCCACAAGCCGAGCAGAGACGAAAGUCGGUUCUAGUGAUCCGGCGGCACAGAGUGGAAUGGCCGUCGCUCAACGGAUAAAAGGUACUCCGGGGAUAACAGGCUGAUCUUGCCCAAGAGUCCACAUCGACGGCAAGGUUUGGCACCUCGAUGUCGGCUCAUCGCAUCCUGGGGCUGGAGCAGGUCCCAAGGGUACGGCUGUUCGCCGUUUAAAGCGGUACGCGAGCUGGGUUCAGAACGUCGUGAGACAGUUCGGUCCCUAUCCUCCGCAGGCGCAAGAGGAUUGAGGAGGUCUGCCCCUAGUACGAGAGGACCGGGGUGGACGGACCUCUGGUGCAGCAGUUGUCGACCAACGGCACGGCUGCCUAGCUACGUCCGGCACGGAUAACCGCUGAAAGCAUCUAAGUGGGAAGCCGUCUCCAAGAUGAGUCCUCUUUCCGGUAAGGGCCCAGGCAGAACACCUGGUCGAUAGGCCGCAGGUGCAAGGCGUGCGAGCGCCUCAGCCGAGCGGUACUAAUAGCCCGAGCUCUUCUUC